AGCGAACGCUGGCGGCAGGCCUAACACAUGCAAGUCGAACGAGACCUUCGGGUCUAGUGGCGGACGGGUGAGUAACACGUGGGAACGUGCCUUUAGGUUCGGAAUAACUCAGGGAAACUUGUGCUAAUCCCGAAUGUGCCCUUCGGGGGAAAGAUUUAUCGCCUUUAGAGCGGCCCGCGUCUGAUUAGCUAGUUGGUGAGGUAAUGACUCACCAAGGCUACGAUCAGUAGCUGGUCUGAGAGGAUGAUCAGCCACAUUGGGACUGAGACACGGCCCAAACUCGUACGGGAGGCAGCAGUGGGGAAUCUUGCGCAAUGGGCGAAAUCCUGACGCAGCCAUGCCGCGUGUAUGAUGAAGGUCUUAGGAUUGUAAAAUACUUUCACCGGUGAAGAUAAUGACUGUAGCCGGAGAAGAAGCCCCGGCUAACUUCGUGCCAGCCGCCGCCGUAAGAC
rnacentral:rRNA from 1 species